AUUGAACGCUGGCGGCAUGCUUUACACAUGCAAGUCGAACGGCAGCGGGGGCUUCGGCCCGCCGGCGAGUGGCGAACGGGUGAGUAAUGCAUCGGAACGUGCCCAGUCGUGGGGGAUAACGCACCGAAAGGUGUGCUAAUACCGCAUACGUCCUGAGGGAGAAAGCGGGGGAUCGCAAGACCUCGCGCGAUUGGAGCGGCCGAUGCCGGAUUAGCUAGUUGGUGGGGUAAAGGCCUACCAAGGCGACGAUCCGUAGCUGGUCUGAGAGGAUGAUCAGCCACACUGGGACUGAGACACGGCCCAGACUCCUACGGGAGGCAGCAGUGGGGAAUUUUGGACAAUGGGGGCAACCCUGAUCCAGCCAUGCCGCGUGAGUGAAGAAGGCCUUCGGGUUGUAAAGCUCUUUCGGCCGGGAAGAAAUCGUGGUCUCUAAUAUAGGCCAUGGAUGACGGUACCGGACUAAGAAGCACCGGCUAACUACGUGCCAGCAGCCGCCGUAACAC
rnacentral:rRNA from 1 species